GGCUUUAACUGUUUAUUUGCAAGUGUUUUUAAAUAGAUAUAAUUUGUCCUGCAGUAACUCAUUUGGUUCAAAGGAUAAAUUUACUCAGCGGCUUUUCAGUUAAAGUGAACAAUCAGGUUUUAAGUUAACACACAAACUAAGUUAUGCUGCAAUGGAUUGUGGAUUAUAGAUAUGCAUUAUGGAUAUGGAUAUCAUUGGCAUUGAAAAAGCAAAUGAUUAAAGCAGGAAUAAAGAUUGUAGUGGUUUCCAUUUCCCUUCUCGUGGAUCAUAACUUUCCAUUGAAGUAAAGUUUGUUGAAUACCUCAAAAGACCACCAACACCACGAAUUAUUCCACCAAUAAGACCACCCGAUAUUGCAUAAAUGGAACCAACAGUAUCUCCACCACCGAAUGCAAACAAGCGACCUGUUGAUAACACAGCCCUGGAGACACACCGGCAAUUUCUGACGAUCAUUUAAUACCGGCGGCAAUUAAGUGCUGACGGUAGCUCUAGUAAUAAGUUUCAAAUUUUAAGUAAGCUGUGUUCAUGUUCGUACUGAUGAAAGUUACAAAACAAGUUCUUUGUUGAUUGGUAAACGUAGCAUUGUAUCAAUUGUAUGCCCGUCAAUAUUAACGUUACAUCGAUCACAAGCUGUGAUGCAAUCUAUCAUCGUUGCUUAAAAGAGUGAUUUUUUUAGGAUUUUAGCAAUCACCGCUUUUACUCGCUUUUCGUUUACCACUGCGUAACGAAAAUAGCCUAUGUAUAAUAUAUAACUUUUUGAGGGGGUUUCUUAAACCAAACAACCCCGUCUAGAUGGGCCACUGUACCAACCAUUGUAAGAAACAAGAGCAUGUUGAAAUCGUUCAGUUUUCAUUGGAGCAAUGUUUGUCCAUGUAUUCACCACUGGAUUGUAUAAUUCAACUGAUGAUAAUGCAUUAAUACCACCCCAUCCUCCUGUUACACACAUUUGAUCUAGAAUUUAAAUAUUUAUUACAUAACAAUGCUUGCUGUUUAAUGUUUAUUAAAAUCAAAAUAGGAUUUAAA